AUAUAAGCUUGUUCUCCUAAAGGUAUGAGUACUUCUUCUGCUAUGACCUAGUAUAAUUAUUGGUUCUAUUUGCAUGCGUAAUCUGCCAUGAGGAAUAGCAUCCAAUAUUUUAAAAUAGACAUGCCCUAAUAGUUGGUAUAGAAGAUUUUAUUUACUUAUAUAGUGGAAGAAAACAAAUGCAGAGAAGAGGAAGGGUAGGAAAAAAUAAAAAAGAUAAACAAAGUUGACAGAUCUUCUAUGGAUAGAUUAGAAAAAGAAAAAGCUGAAUUUGACAUUGUUGAAUGAUAAGUCUGGCCAUUAGAUUUUGAGUUGCUUGUUCAAGCAGCAUAAUUAAGCACCAGAAAUAGUU
rnacentral:misc_RNA from 1 species